GUGAUGGUGAUAUGGUUGCUAGCGAGAGAGGCAACAGGAAAAACUCUUGGUUUCUUGGUUCUCGGAGGAGAAGCGACGUUGGAGGGAAAAGUUAUGUUUCCCAUCGUAUGGUGAUAAAGGAGAAAAGUACAGUAGCAGCAGCAUUAGUAUCACGAGGAUGAAGAAGAUGGGCAGCUUGAAUAGUCUCUCUCAUUCCAAAUUCCAUUUCUGGGCAAGUAUCUACGAAGGCUUAAGCAAGUGGCUCCAUGGAGCAGAAGGGACAAGAAGGAUAGGUUGCAAUUAUAAUCUUCUGCAUGUAAAAUAUUUCAUUAUGAAAGUUUCCGGAUUUGCUUGGUCUGCA